UCCAGACUCCUACGGGAGGCAGCAGUGAGGAAUAUUGGUCAAUGGGCGGAAGCCUGAACCAGCCAAGUCGCGUGAGGGAAGAAGGCCCUACGGGUUGUAAACCUCUUUUGUCAGGGAGCAAGGUGCAGGUCGGGACCUGCUGUGAGAGUACCUGAAGAAAAAGCAUCGGCUAACUACGUGCCAGCAGCCGCGGUAAUACGUAGGGGGCAAGCGUUGUUCGGAAUGACUGGGCGUAAAGGGUGCGUAGGCGGUGUAGCAAGUUAGAAGUGAAAUACCUAGAGCUUAACUCAGGUGCUGCUUCUAAAACUGCUAUACUUGAGUGCAGUAGAGGAAAGUGGAAUUCCUAGUGUAGCGGUGGAAUGCGUAGAUAUUAGGAGGAACAUCAGUGGCGAAGGCGACUUUCUGGACUGUAACUGACGCUGAGGCACGAAAGUGUGGGGAGCAAACAGGAUUAGAUACCCCAGUAA
rnacentral:rRNA from 1 species